GGGUUGUGAGGUUAAGCGACUAAGCGUACACGGUGGAUGCCCUGGCAGUCAGAGGCGAUGAAGGGCGUGCUAAUCUGCGAUAAGCGCCGGUAAGGUGAUAUGAACCGUUAUAACCGGCGAUACCCGAAUGGGGAAACCCAGUGUGACUCGUCACACUAUCAUUAACUGAAUCCAUAGGUUAAUGAGGCGAACCGGGGGAACUGAAACAUCUAAGUACCCCGAGGAAAAGAAAUCAACCGAGAUUCCCCCAGUAGCGGCGAGCGAACGGGGAGGAGCCCAGAGCCUGAAU
rnacentral:rRNA from 2 species